rnacentral:rRNA from 1 species
AGGACGAACGCUGGCGGCGUGCCUAAAACAUGCAAGUCGAACGGUGUAGCAAUACACAGUGGCGAACGGCGGAGUAAUACAUAAGGAACGUGCCCUGAAGACCGGGAUAGUCAUUGGAAACGAUGGGUAAUACCGGAUGUGGCCACUCUUCGGCAUCGGAGAGUGAUUAAAUGGUUUUUCGCUUCAGGAGCGUCUUAUGGCCUAUCAGGUAGUUGGUGGGGUAAUGGCCUACCAAGCCGACGACGGGUAGCGGGUCUGAGAGGAUGAUCCGCUCGAGUGGGACUGAGACACGGCCCACACACCUACGGGUGGCAGCAGUUGGGAAUCUUGCACAAUGGGGAAACCCUGAUGCAGCGACGCCGCGUGGAGGAUGACGGGUCUAGGCCUGUAAACUCCUUUAAUGGGAAGACUUAGGACGGUACCCAUUGAAUAAGGACCGGCUAACUACGUGCUAGCAGCCGC